ensembl:lncRNA
GUUAAAACAAAUCAAAACCAAAAAGAUACCCAAACUCAGCAGUGUCGGUAAUGUUUGGGAGCGUGUUAGAAAUGGAGACACUUGGCUCUCACCCCAGAUGCACGGAGUCAGAUCCUCCAUUAACGAAAUCCACAGCCGUCUCUGUCGGCAUCUCCCUGGAUAUACGCGGAAACAUGUACAUGAGUAGAAAUGAAUGGAAAGCAAAGCUCCAGUGACCUGCUUCCCCCGAGCUGGUGUGUAACAUUGACAUGACCAGCAGAUAUAACCGUGCAAAAGCAGAGGACCGCUGCUCUGAUAGAGUUGCUGAAAUCCCCUCCAUACUUUUGGGAUCUGUAAAGGAAAGGAUAAGCACAGCCUUUGAGAUGAUAUUUGUUAUUCCUCCUUCCUGAACAAAUGGAGAGAGCUUCCUGGUGGCUCAGUAGAAAAGAAUCUGCCUGCAAUGCAGAAGCAGCCGCAGGAGACAGGGGUUCGAUCCCUGGGUGGGAAAGAUCCCCUGGAGGAGGAAAUGGCAGCCUACUCCAGUGUUCUUGCCUGGAGAGUCCCAUGGAUGGAGGAGUCUGGCGGGCCACAGUCCGUGGGUUCACAGAGAGGCAGACACGACUGAAGCGACUCAGCGCGCAUGGACGCACAAGUGGGGAUCUCUGGGCUUUCUAGAAACUUUCCACCAACAAGGGUCUGGAAGCCUGCACACAGUCCUCAUGAACCAGGAAGGGGGAGCAGGCCCCAGAGGGUCAGGCUGAACUGCGUCUGCGUGUUCAAAAGUCAAGUCUAAUUCUCUGUAACUGUCUGGACCUUUUCAUCGGCAAAGGCCAGGUUCCAGGGGUGGUCAGUAAAUCACUUGCAGAUGGGCCCUGGCCGUGGCUGGGUGAACCCCACCCUGCUUGUUUUACCACCGGGGCGCCCCUGAGACAGCAGGAGCAGAGGAUUCCCGCCACAUUCUGCGUGGAUAGGAGCCCAGAGCACCUGUGACUGAGGGGAAAGCCUGAGGCUUACGAGGUGCCAGGCUGGGCUCGGUUUCAUUCCUCUCCCACAUCUCCGCUAUCUGUGAAAUAGAUAAGGCUGUUCUUCCAGCUCAGGCUUGAGGAAACUGAAGCGAUGUUG